AGUCUUUGAUAUUGUAAGUCGCUCUGGAUAAGAGCGUCUGCUAAAUGACUUAAA
rfam:Salmo salar isolate Sally breed double haploid chromosome ssa01, whole genome shotgun sequence.